rnacentral:rRNA from 1 species
CCUACGGGAGGCAGCAGUGAGGAAUAUUGGUCAAUGGCCGAGAGUCUGAACCAGCCAAGCCGCGUGAAGGAUGACUGCCCUAUGGGUUGUAAACUUCUUUUAUAAAGGAAUAAAACGAGGCACGUGUGCCUUUUUGCAUGUACUUUAUGAAUAAGCAUCGGCUAACUCCGUGCCAGCAGCCGCGGUAAUACGGAGGAUUCGAGCGUUAUCCGGAUUUAUUGGGUUUAAAGGGCGCGUAGGUGGGUUGUUAAGUCAGUUGUGAAAGUUUGGGGCUCAACCGUAAAAUUGCAAUUGAUACUGGCAGUCUUGAGUACAGUUGAGGUAGGCGGAAUGCGUGGUGUAGCGGUGAAAUGCUUAGAUAUCACGAAGAACCCCGAUUGCGAAGGCAGCUUACUAACCUGGGACUGACAUUGAUGCACGAAAGUGUGGGUAUCAAACAGGAUUAGAUACCCUAGUAGUC